GCUCAGAACAAAAACAAUGUAAUGUACUGUGAAACUUUUUAAAUUACUGCCUUUAGACCUGCUUCAGCAAAACUUGCCCCAUUUUCAACAAGUUUGUUAUAGAAUGUCUGAAAAGUUGCACAAUUAGACCAUCCUGCACUACUGAGUAUCUCAUCUAUAGAAACUCCCGCUGUAAUAUAUAUAAGACAACCAGCAUCGGUAAACUGUAUAUUCGUAAUGUCCAUUAGUGUUAUUGUUUGUGUUCUUUGACCAGAUAGCAAUGCUAUUAACAUAACAAGUUUAUGAGCAUGUUCUUUAAGCGUGAUUUUCUCAAGAGGGUAUAAUGUCUUGAGGCAAG